AGCAGUGUAGUAUAGUGGUAAGGAGCCGGGCUCGUAACCAAAAGGUUGCUGGUUCAAUUCCUCGCUGCUG